CCCACCUCAAGAUGAGAUUUCCCAUUUCUUUAAGAAAGUAAGAUCCCUGAGAGAUGAUCAGGUAGAUAGGUCAGGAGUGGAAGUACAGUGAUGUAUGGAGCGGACUGAUACUAAUCGAUCGAGGACUUAACCACA
rnacentral:rRNA from 1 species